UUGAACCCGCAUCCACGUGGAUCUCCUAGUUGGGUUUGUUAACCUCUGAGCCAUGAAGGGAAAUUCCUUUUUUCUUGAUAUAAGAGUUAGACCAAGUUCACUUUUUUUUUUUCCUUAGAACCUUUUUGUGUUGAUGCUUAUUUUCAACCAGCUAUAUAGAUACUUUCUCUCGAUAUGUUAUCAUAUGCACCUUGACCUAUAUAUUUGAGCUCUGCCUAAUGACUCUAACUCUGAUUAUAGCGGACUUAGCAUCUUGUGUUGUUAUAGAGAUCUGUGCCAUUUAAAAAAUGCUUAUAUAUACGCAAUCUCCAAACUACCCUUUAAAACAGGUAGAUGGUUUGAUUGAUGAGGAAGGAGUUUAGUCUAAAACAGAAUUUGUUUCUGUGAAUAUUUGGUUGGGUUUAUUCCCACUUUAGUUUCAAUUAUAUCACUUGCAUGUAACUACCAGAUAUGUGUCACUGUCGGUCAGAGUGGACUCUUCCCUCCUAAUUAUGGGUUACAACUAUCUUGUGUCAGUUGACGUUUCUCCCUAUCUCUACCCUUCUCAUCACUGUGUCAGAGGUUAUGAAGUUUCACCACCCUCAUGCAACAUGGUUCAUAUUAGUUAGGAUAUGUUAAUAAGAAUAUUCUUAUUGUCCAUUUCUGACUUUCAGAGAAAAACAUAAACCACUUCAUAUUGUUUGCUCUCAUUUUUCAAACUCUUUCUUCUACAAGGUACUUACAUACAUUAUCCUCAGUUGAAGUUCAUGAUUACUGAGGAAGAGGUGAUUUUCUCUCUGCUUAACUGGUGAGGCGUUUAUAGCUUGGAGAGAUGAAGUCAGUUGCCCAAGGUCAGCAGCCAGGAAGUGAGAUCAGGUUUCCAAAUCAGGCUGUCUGGCUCCCAGACUGGUCAGUCUUAAACUACUUCUUCCUCAGCGUGGCAUGGGCAAGACUGAGUCAGAACCUCAAGACCACUUUGCCAAGGGUUUUAAUAACCAAUGUUAUUUCUAUGAUUGACAGUUACAACUCUGGGUUAUUUUGGGUUGAGCAACAGAGGUAUUUUGUGCUAAAAGAGCAGGUAGCUGUAUUCUUUUCUCCCUCAUUUGGAGACAUUUCUGUGAAGGUGAUCUGUGUACUCGUUAGGGCUGACCCAGGGUGCCCCCAGAGCCCAGCCACCCUCACUGGUCAGACAGCGUCCUGUCCUCCCUGUUCCCCAGGAGAUUCUCACAAGUGGUAACGUUACAUAGCCCGUAAUACCAACUGCUGCCUACAGUUUAAUGGCAAAAAAAAUACCCUUCCUUAUGAACGGUUUUUCUUACCUCAUCCACUAGAUGGCAGCAGACCCACUUGGAACAAAAUGGGUGUUUGGUACCUGAGGAUAUAUAAUAAAGAGCUGAAAGGGGGAAAAUUUGAGUUUUAAAGAAAUAUAAUGCACCUUGUCAUGCAAUGUGUAAUAUUCUUUAAAAAUCACUUCUCUAGAAGUAAUGGUGCAAAUAGUUGCAGAUUGUGGAUAAUGCAGAAUUAAUUUGUUCAUUGUAUUCUUAGUAGAGGCGCAUCUUGAUGUAAUCCUAUCUCAGUGUAUUAGGUGAAUUUUUCUUCAAGGGACUGUUUAUGGCUAUGUAAAAAAAAUUGUUCCUUAAUUUUCAUGUUUCAUGAGGGUUUUUUUUCUUUAAAGUUGAACACAUGCCAAUUAAAAAUGACUGACUCUUCCAUCAAUUCACGACACCCCAGGCUAGGUAAUGAAGUGAACCCAGUAGACAUGACUUGGAAGAAACUAGGAAUGAUUAUCAGUUUUUCCAUAUCACCAUCAUAUCUGUUAGCCACAUAGAAACUUUUUUGUCUCCCUCUCGCUAAACUAUUUUUUAUUAAACUUUUUUUUUUUUUAAUGGCCGCACCUAUGGCAUAUAGAAGUUCCCAGGCCAGGGAUUGAACCCACGCCUCCACAGCGACCUAAGUUGUUGCAGUCAGAUUCUUAACCCACUGUGCCACGGUGGGAACUCCUGUUAAACCUUUUUAAACAAGGACAACUUGAGUAUGGCGAAAGAUCCUCUGAGCCACUAUCCCAAAACUAGGAGGUAGUAAAAAAACUGGAGGGUAAUGAAAUAAAAAAUGGAGUGUGCCUACUUUUCUUAAUUCUCCUUUUUUAUAUGCCUUAUUUUUUAUAAAUACAUACCGCUUCUUACAUGAUUUGAUCUUUCAAAUGCUCGUUUAUGGUUCAGUUUUUAAAAUGUUCGUUGAGUGUCAACAAUAUGGUGGGUUCUAGAGGUACAAUAAUGUUCUUGCUUUUAAGGAGUUUACCCUUGUGGUUGGAGAGACCAGUAGGUAAUCUGAUCAUUUCAAGUUAUGUCUAAACCUGGUAUUAGAGAUUUGAAUCUCCAGAAUAAAGUGUCUUCUGUCUUACACUUUAAAGACAAUGCAAAUGCCAGCUCUGUUAAGUCUUUUUGGAUUGUCCUCCAAUAGAACAGCUGUAUUGUAGGUCCUCGUUUGAAACAUUUUUAUAGGAUUUAUUGUUUCUAUUUCCACUUUGGGUUUAUAUGAUGUACUUUUUUUCCCUCCCUUUUUCUAGAUUAUAUACUGCUUGAGUAUGGGAGGCUUUGUCUCACAUUUGUGUUUAUGAAAAACACAUAGCACUCAUUGAUUAAGCGUAUUGGGCAAAACAUAAUAGUUGCGUUUCUAAGAAACUUCAGUUUAUGAGAUACUGUGUUAUUAAAAUUAUUGUUUCAUAGUGAAAAGAAGGUUGUCAGCUAAAGCAUUUGACUUAUAAGGAAGUUUAGUGUUCAUAAAACCUAAAUGGCAGUACGUAAGUCUUUUUUGAGUCCACCUAGCUCGUUUGGUGAGUCUGGCCUUUCUUUUUGUGAUUGUUGCCUGGACUGUCAUUAUCAGUCAUCUUGUAUUACUUAUAAUGGGAGUAAGCAAAGCUUAGAAUAGUUUGGUUACAUUAACAACAAGUUUUUUUUCCUAAUACUGGUUCUGUAAUGACACUUCCCAGUGGACAGGGUAGUAUAACCAAAAAUAUCCCAAUAUAGUAAGAAUUUUAAGCAUCAGUUGGCCAAAAUAAAUGUCCAUUAUAGUUAUCCCUUUUGUUUUCUAUAAUGAACAUAGUCUUUUUUUUUUUUUUUUCAUACUAAAGCUUGAAAAAAUUAGAAGCCCCUGUCUUACAUGGUGCUACUAUCACUCUUACAACCUGAAUUCCUCUCCCAUUUCCACACAUGGGCAGAACCAACGCCUGUUUAUUUCCUGCAUCUGGUGCCAGGUCUAGUGGCCGAUUUCCAGACCAUUCCUCUUCUGAUUCAGCAGGAUUGCGUCAUUGUGUUCCUUCACCUCUGCACCAGAGUGCCUGCCUUUCCUUCCCCUUAACGAUGACCUCAGUUGACGUGCUGCCACCUGGCCCCAAGCAGCCAGAUGGAACCUCAGCUUCUCCUCAGGUGGAGGUGUGGUGACAUUCCUUACUUGGAUAUUGUCUCCAUGUCACCUCGAGGGGUGGAAGAAAGUUUGCAAUAGGUAAUUAGGUGUAAAUGGAAUAUAUAUAUAUUUCUCAGUAUCUUCACCCCUUAGUUCCUAAAUCUGAAUUUUCUUUCUGGCUGUGGGUGAAGCAGAACAUGGAGUGGUUGUUCUCUUGAGAGCAUAAAGAUCCUGUAGGCUUGCACUUUAACUUCCCACAAUACUGUCUCUCAAGGUGACCUCAUAAUUGGAUCUCCAGAAAGCCAUUAAACACUCUGGAAGUCCAGUAGCUUCCAGACCAAGAAAUACUGGCAUACUGGCAGACUAAGGAAUCCCAUUGUCCUCGGAAGAUGUGUUUGUUUUGUUUUUGUUUUUUUUUCUCUGUAAAUUGAAUUAGAAGCACUGGUGUGUAGAAUAGCAUGAUUGUGACUAAUAUAUGGAUUAAGAAGCUGGCAGAAUCAUGGGGGAGGACAGUAGAGGAAGCAUAACAAAAUCCGUAAUACUGCUACUUCAGUGCACCAAGAUGGAAGGAGCCAGGCGAUUGGCUCACAUCCCCAAGAAUGGUGCCACAUAGGUACAUGGCCUUCUCAGUGAACGUGUACUCUGAGGAAGUCUGAUAAAGAGGAAGUCCAUGUUGGUGAGCCGUUACGUGGCUUUUAUUCCUAAACCAUUGCUGGCUUAUUGUUCCAUUGAACAAGUGCGGUAGAAGUUAGGGUGAGGAGCAAGCUGACUAACAUACAUAAAAGAAAAUCUGGAAGAAGUACCAACAAAAUAACACCUAAUACAUAACAGGCAGUGCAGGUCACUGGGUUACCUAGUCUACCACUGUGUACUUUUUUAUCCAGGGCAAGACUAGAACUCUUCCUCGAAAGGAUAACAUCGGUUUGCCAAAGAGAACUUGAUUUUGCUCCAGGGUUCUAAGAGACUCUGUGGUUGUUUUCCUUAGUGGGACUUGCCACUAGUUUUAUACAGGAUCCUGAAAUUGCACAGGCACUUGAGUUAGCAUUGGAUCAGCCACAUUAUUAAAGCCAAAUUGUAGAAUUGCUUGUACUACUACUUAACCUAGCUGGAUAGCCUUUUCUAUUGGGGAGUUGAUGUGAGAGCUGGCAACCUUUUGGGGCAUUCAGUAAUGGGCUGGUGCCACUUAAAAAGUCUCACUAAGCAUUGUUUCCCCAUUUGUAUUUGAGACUGCACAGAAAAGCAGUUUCUCCUUUACUUUGCGGGAGCAUGCUCAUGUUCCAUGCGGGUUAAUGGACCAAGAUCUUCACUGAGGAAGCAGGGCCCUGUAUUUUCAUGGAAUUUAUCUUAUGUCUGCUGGCAUACUUCUGUUCUUCCAGGGCACCUAAAAGUACAUCUUGCUUCUUGCUUUUCAGAUCCUAAAAGCACAUGUGAGCAGUGUGUUGGGCUAGUGUAACGUCCUGCAGCAGGAGAUGGUCAGUAACCUUGACAGCUAACUUGUAGUAAGGAGAUAAAGAGUGUAUAUAACCUGAAAAUAAGGGUGUAAUUAUGAAGGCUUGCUGCCAUCCUAUCCAGUUGAAAGCAAACUCCUUCUCUUGUUUUCUAUUUUUUUUUGGAAGGAACAAAACGUAUUUACUGUUAUCAGCAGGCUUAUACAAGGUACCAGAGAUUGUGAUGAUCUGUUCUAGUAAAUAGAUCCCAUUUUGAGGAGCAUUGCAAUUGGGGUCACCAUUUGAACAUGCUUCUGCUAGCCGUUGAAACUGUUUGCCUUCUGCAUCUUCCAGACAGGCCAGGUCAGUGGAAAUAGGAGAGAUGUCACCCAUCAGCUUGUUAGGUCUUUGGUGGUGGUGCCGAGCAGUGCACAAUAGGUGUUGCUCCUGGUUUUCCUGUUCCGUUGGAGGACAGAGCUCUCAGGGGCUUCCAGUAGCUCUUCCUUCAUGUAAGAGCCCUUACUCAGGGAGAAGGGAUGAAAACUGGGGCGGGGGGGGGAGUUGCUGAGUGUAUCUAUUUACAAAAACGAGGGAGAAUAACCACUCAAUGGAUUUAGGUUCCCACUGGGCCUAUCAGAAGCAUGUCUUCUUAAUUCUUUAUGAUGUCUCAACAGUUUUAUCUAGUGUUCAUACCUUAAAGUUAAUUGUCUUUUCCAGGAUAGAUGCAUUUUUUUCAGUCUUGUGUUGGUACUCAUUUUUUCAGUGAAUAUUAUUAAAAUUCCUGUUUCUAGUCAAUUUUUGUACUGGCUUGUCUGAUCUUUUCUCAGUUAUUUCUGACUUUUUAUACAUUAUGGAUAUUGUACCUUUCUUAUCUAUGUUUUUGCCUUUUUCUGAAGGCUUUUGAUUGUAAUUAUAUAAUCAUCUGUUUAUUUUUCUAAAUUUUUACCAAUCUGAGUUUUCAGAUACUUGAGAAAUGAUUAUCAGUGAAGUUGAGUAUCUCAUAUGUUUAUUUGCUUGUUGUAAAUUUUAAGAUGAUAUCUCUACCCAUUUUUCAUUGGGUUAUUUUUGUAUUUCCAAUUUGUAGGAGUUUUUUCUAUGUUAGAGAAGGCUCAUCACAUGCUGCAGAUAUUUUUUCCAUGUAAACACACCUACACAUUAUAUAUAUAUGAAAUUUAGAUCCAUAUUUUUCACACAGCAUUUAAAAUUUGUGUGUAUGUUUUAUCAGUUUGUCAUAUUUUCUUCAUGGUUUUUAAUUUGUUUCAUACUUGAAUAAUAUUUUACAUGUCAUGCCAAGAUCAUAAAUAUAAUGGUAUAAUAAAUACUCUUACAGUUUUAUAUAGUAGUUUAAUAGUUUCAAUUGCUAAUAUUUAAAUUAAUAAUUUAUCACAGAUUUAUUUCACUACAUGAAAUUGAUAGUGUUCUCUACUUAAACACUCACAUGGUUAGUCAGCUUUCUUGGUGUCAUUUAUUAUACAUUAUUUUUUUCUCACUUAAUAUGGCUUUUUUUUGGGGGGGGGUCGUACCCAUGGCAUAUGGAAGUUCUCAGGCUAGGGGUCCAGUUGGAGCUGUAGCCGCUGGCCUACACCACAGCCACAGCAACACCAGAUCCGAGCUGUGUCUGCAGUCUACACCACAGUUCACAGCACUGGGCUCGUUAACUCAGUGAGGGAUUGAACCUGAAUCCUCAUGGAUACUAGUCAGAUUCGUUACCGCUGAGCCACAACAGGAACUCCCAAUGUGACCUUUUUAAAAGAUAGGAACCCUCUAGAGAUAUGAUAAAUGCCUGCCUCUAUCCUAUAGAGGCCUACACUGCAGUUUGUCUUAUCAACACAGUUUUUAAAAUAAAAGCUUAAACCCCUAUAACAUGGCCCAAGAAUAUCUGUUAGGUUGAGAAGGAAGUAUAUAACUAAUUGCAAGCAGCCGUGUUAGUUAAAACUAGCAAAUGAAAUUUCUCCACCUCACAAAAGAAAAAAAAGCUAUUACCAAAAAAAAAAAAAAA